UUGAUUAAUGCGUGAGCGUGCUAAGGUAGCUUGUAAUAGUAUUAGCUUUUGUAAUUAGGAGGCCAGUGAAUGGCAAAACUAGGAACACCUUUAUUUUAUGUACCAAAAAAAUUUUUCAUCUAAGUGAAAAGACUUAGAUAGCAAAGGAAGACAAAAAGACCCCGCGGAGCUUUACCUUUUCUUAUACUUUCGUUUACCUACUUAAAUGUAUCAGAGGUUUGAUUGGGGCAAUCUUGGAACAAACAAAGCUUUCCCAACUAUUAAAAACCGCAUCUAAAACUUAAUAAGGACCAAAAAGAAGCUACCCCGGGGAUAACAGCGUAAUCUAACUUAAGAGUACACAUCGAAAGUUAGGUUUGCGACCUCGAUGUUGGCUUAAGGAUAUCCACAUUAGUGCUAACCGCUAUGACAGUGACAGUCUUGUUCGACUAUUAUACCCUGACACAAGCUGAGUUAAGAACCAGA
rnacentral:rRNA from 1 species